rnacentral:rRNA from 1 species
AUUGAACGCUGGCGGCAGGCCUAACACAUGCAAGUCGAGCGGAUGAGUGGAGCUUGCUCCAUGAUUCAGCGGCGGACGGGUGAGUAAUGCCUAGGAAUCUGCCUGGUAGUGGGGGACAACGUUUCGAAAGGAACGCUAAUACCGCAUACGUCCUACGGGAGAAAGUGGGGGAUCUUCGGACCUCACGCUAUCAGAUGAGCCUAGGUCGGAUUAGCUAGUUGGUGAGGUAAAGGCUCACCAAGGCGACGAUCCGUAACUGGUCUGAGAGGAUGAUCGGUCACGCUGGAACUGAGACACGGUCCAGACUCCUAGGGGAGGCAGCAGUGGGGAAGAUUGGACAAUGGGCGAAAGCCUGAUCCAGCCAUGCGGCGUGUGUGAAGAAGGUCUUCGGAUUGUAAAGCACUUUAAGUUGGGAGGAAGGGCAGUAAGUUAAUACCUUGCUGUUGUGACGUUACCAACAGAAUAAGCACCGGCUAACUUCGUGCCAGCAGCAGCCGCGGUAA